rnacentral:rRNA from 1 species
CAGUCGCCACGGUAAUACGAACCGUGCGAACGUUAUUCGGAAUUACUGGGCUUAAAGCGCGUGUAGGCGGGCCGCCACGUCGGUUGCUGAAAUCCCCCGGCUCAACCGGGGAAGUGGCAUCGAUACGAGCGGCCUUGAGGGGGGUAGGGGGAUCUGGAACUUCCGGUGGGGCGGUGAAAUGCGUUGAGAUCGGAAGGAACGCCCGUGGCGAAAGCGAGGUCCUGGGCCCUUUCUGACGCUGAGACGCGAAAGCCAGGGGAGCGAACGGGAUUAGAUACCCCCGUAGUCCCUGUCUCUUAUA